rnacentral:rRNA from 1 species
UACGUAGGGCGCAAGCGUUGUCCGGAAUUAUUGGGCGUAAAGAGCUCGUAGGCGGUUUGUCGCGUCUGCUGUGAAAACCUAAGGCUCAACCUUGGGCUUGCAGUGGGUACGGGCAGACUAGAGUGCGGUAGGGGUGACUGGAAUUCCUGGUGUAGCGGUGGAAUGCGCAGAUAUCAGGAGGAACACCCGUGGCGAAAGCGGCUCUCUGGGACGGUACUGACGCUGAGACGCGAAAGCGUGGGGAGCAAACAGG